rnacentral:rRNA from 1 species
UACGUAGGUGGCGAGCGUUAUCCGGAUUUAUUGGGCGUAAAGCGUCCGCAGACGGCUUGUUAAGUCUAGAAUCAAAGCCCGGAGCUUAACUCCGGUUCGUUCUAGGAACUGGCUAGCUUGAGUAUAGUAGAGGCAAGUGGAACUUCUAGUGUAGCGGUAGAAUGCGUAGAUAUUAGGAGGAACACCAGUGGCGAAGGCGACUUGCUGGGCUAUUACUGACGUUCAUGGACGAAAGCGUGGGGAGCAAAUA